rnacentral:rRNA from 1 species
CGCGUGAGCAAUCUGCCUUUGGAUGGGGGAUAACAGCCGGAAACGACUGCUAAUACCGCAUAAUGCAGCAGGACCGCAUGAUUUUGCUGCCAAAGAUUUAUCGUCCAAAGAUGAGCUCGCGUCUGAUUAGCCAGUUGGCGGGGUAACGGCCCACCAAAGCGACGAUCAGUAGCCGGACUGAGAGGUUGAACGGCCACAUCGGGACUGAGACACGGCCCAGACUCCUACGGAAGGCAGCAG